rnacentral:rRNA from 1 species
AGAUUGAACGCUGGCGGCAGGCCUAACACAUGCAAGUCGAGCGGUAGAGAGGUGCUUGCAUCUCUUGAGAGCGGCGGACGGGUGAGUAAUGCCUAGGAAUCUGCCUAGUGGUGGGGGAUAACGUUCGGAAACGGACGCUAAUACCGCAUACGUCCUACGGGAGAAAGCGGGGGACCUUCGGGCCUCGCGCCAUUAGAUGAGCCUAGGUCGGAUUAGCUAGUUGGUGAGGUAAUGGCUCACCAAGGCGACGAUCCGUAACUGGUCUGAGAGGAUGAUCAGCCACACUGGAACUGAGACACGGUCCAGACUCCUACGGGAGCAGCAGUGGGGAAUAGUUGGACAAGUGGGACGCGAAGCCUGAUCCAGCCAUACCGCGUGGGUGAAGAAGGCCUUUACGGGUUAGUAAACGGUCCCGUUUUAGGUUAGGGUAAAAG